rnacentral:rRNA from 1 species
UACGUAGGGGCCGAGCGUUGUCCGGAGUUAUUGGGCGUAAAGCGCGCGCAGGCGGCCUCGCGCGCCCGACGUGAAAGCCCCCGGCUUAACCGGGGAGGGUCGUUGGGGACGGCGGGGCUUGAGGGCGGGAGAGGGUGGUGGAAUUCCCGGUGUAGUGGUGAAAUGCGUAGAGAUCGGGAGGAACACCCGUGGCGAAGGCGGCCACCUGGGCCGACCCUGACGUUGAGGCGCGAAGGCGUGGGGAGCGAACGGG